AGCGAACGCUGGCGGCAGGCUUAACACAUGCGAGUCGAGCGGGCACCUUUCGGGGUGUCAGCGGCGGACGGGUGAGUAACGCGUGGGAACGUGCCCUCUGGUUCGGAAUAACUCAGGGAAACUUGAGCUAAUACCGGAUACGCCCUUUUGGGGAAAGGCUUGCUGCCGGAGGAUCGGCCCGCGUCUGAUUAGCUAGUUGGUGAGGUAACGGCUCACCAAGGCGACGAUCAGUAGCUGGUCUGAGAGGAUGAUCAGCCACACUGGGACUGAGACACGGCCCAGACUCCUACGGGAGGCAGCAGUGGGGAAUAUUGGACAAUGGGCGCAAGCCUGAUCCAGCCAUGCCGCGUGAGUGAUGAAGGCCUUAGGGUUGUAAAGCUCUUUUAUCCGGGACGAUAAUGACGGUACCGGAGGAAUAAGCCCCGGCUAACUUCGUG
rnacentral:rRNA from 1 species